ensembl:snRNA U6 U6 spliceosomal RNA
GGGCUUUGGUAGCACAUAUACUAAAAGUGGAAUGAUACAGAGAAGAUUAGCAUGGUUCCUGCUCAAGGAUGACAUGCACAUGUGUGAAGUGUUCCAUAUUUUA